GCGAACCCGUGCACAUGCGCAGAUACCGUGUGUGACUUUGUGAGAGCGAAGUGUUGCAUCUCGCUCAUCUCAAUAUCUCCGGCGCUGCUCGUGGCAACGUCAUUUCACUGCGUCUACCUUUAACAAACCAGCUUAGUAGACACUUUCAGAAUAUUGUAAAUCCUGUAAGGAGGGCUUGGGCUUUCCAGUGGCCUUGCAUUCCCACACCAGAGAGUCGUCAAUGGGCUUCUGCACAUCCUGGGGUUUCUCUAUCAGAUGUGGAGGGGCUGCAUGGUCAAAACAACAUGGCUGUGAAUUAGAACAUUCUCAUACAGAUCCCAUUUCUCGCAGCUCAGCAUUCAACACCAUAGUGCCCAGAAAGCUCAUCACUAAGCUAAGGACCGUGGGACUAAAUACCUCCCUCUGCAACUGGAUAAUGGACUUCCUGAUGGGCCGCCCUCACGUGAGGACCUGAGCCCUAGGACCAUGCCUCAGGACUACCUGCCAUGAUGACUCCUUGCUGUCCCCAGUCCACCUGGCCAUGCUGCUGCUCCAGUUUCAACUGUUCUGCCUGUGAUUAUUAUUAUUUGACCAUGCUGGUCAUUUAUGAACAUUUGAACAUCUUGGCCAUGUUCUGUUAUAAUCUCCACCCGGCACAGCCAGAAGAGGACUGGCCACCCCACAUAGCCUGGUUCCUCUCUAGGUUUCUUCCUAGGUUUUGGCCUUUCUAGGGAGUUUUUCCUAGCCACCGUGCUUCUACACCUGCAUUGCUUGCUGUUUGGGGUUUUAGGCUGGAUUUCUGUACAGCACUUUGAGAUAUCAGCUGAUGUACGAAGGGCUAUAUAAAUACAUUUGAUUUGAUGGUCGUGGACUACAGGAAAAGGAGGGCCGAACAUGCCCCCAUUAACAUCGACGGGGCUGUAGUGGAGCAGAUCGAGAGUUUCAAGUUCCUUGGUGUCCACAUCACCAACAAACUAGAAUGGUCCAAACACACCAAUACACUAGUGAAGAGGGCAUGACAACACCUUUUCCCCCUCAGGAGACUGAAAAGAUUUUCAGAUACUCAAAAAGUUAUACAGCUGGUAUGGCAACUGCUCGGCAUCCGAACUUAAGGCGCUAUAGAGGGUAGUGCGUACGGUCCAGUAUAUCACUGGGGCCAAGCUUCCUGCCAUCUAGGACUUAUAUACUAGACAGUGUCAGAAGUCGCCAAAAAUUGUCAAAGACUUCAGUACCCAAGUCAUAGACUAUUUUCUCUACUACCGCAUGGCAAGCAGUACAGGAGCACUAAGUCUAGGUUCAAAAGGUUCCUUAACAGCUUCUAACCCCAAGCCAUAAGACUGCGGAUCAAUUAAUAAAAUGGCCACCCGGACUAUUACAUUGACACCCCCCCUUUGUUUUUACACUGCUGCUACUCUCUGUUUAUUAUCUAUGCAUAGUCACUUUACCUCUAGCUACAUGUACAAAUUACCUCCACUAAACUGUAGCCCUGCACAUUUUCUCGUUACCGGUACCCCCUGUAUAUAGCCCCGGUAUUGUCAUUUUAUUGUGUUACUUUUUAGUUCAUUUUUUACUUUAGUUUAUUUAGUAAAAAUUGUCUUAACUCUUGUUUCUUGAACUGCAUUGUUGGUUAAGGGCUUGUGAGUAAGAAUUUCAAGGUAAGGUCUACUACACCUGUUGUACUCGGCGCAUGUGACAAACAACAUUUGAAUUGAAUUGAUAUUCAAAUGUGAUGGUAUUUGAUCACAUUAAAUCGCACAAGGGCCAGAAAGGGAACACAUGACCUAGAAAUAUACUGUUUGAUAAGGGUUGUAGUAGAAUUGCUGUAGAACUGGA